GCCUUCGCGGUGUAACGGUAGCACACUUGGCUCGUGUUCGAGAACUGCAGGUUCAAGUCCCGGCGAGGGCA
rnacentral:tRNA from 1 species